AUAAGAUAUCAAGGGCAACAGGUGAAUGCCUUGGCGCUGAGAGGCGAUGAAAGACGCGGUAAGCUGCGAUAAGCAUCGGGGAGGAGCUAAACAUCCUACGAUCCGAUGAUUUCUGAAUGGGGAAACCCGAUGGGAGUCAUGUCCCAUCAUCCUGAGCUGAAUAUAUAGGCCCAGAGAAGCCAACCCGGGGAAGUGAAACAUCUCAGUACCCGGAGGAAGAGAAAUCAAACGAGACUCCCAAAGUAGCGGCGAGCGAAAUGGGAAGAGCCCAAACCGAGUGGUUUCGACCAUUCGGGGUUGUAGGGCCGGCAUACGCGAUUCUGGAGUAGGCAGAGGAAGUGAGCUGGAAAGCUCCGCCACAGCGGGUGAUAGCCCCGUACUCGAAACCGAAAAGGACGCAGCCGGUACCUGAGUACUGCGAGGCACGUGGAACCUCGUGGGAAUCUAGGGGGACCAUCCUCUAAGGCUAAGUACUCCUCAGCGACCGAUAGUGAACUAGUACCGUGAGGGAAAGGUGAAAAGAACCCCUGUUAGGGGAGUGAAAUAGAAUCUGAAACCUGUUGCCUACAAGCUGCGAGAGCUGCUUCGGCAGUGAUCGCGUGCCUUUUGUAUAAUGAGUCAGCGAGUUACUCUACCGUGCGAGGUUAAGCGAAAGCGUAGCCGUAGUGAAAGCGAGGCUUAAUAGGCCGACUAGUACGUUGGAGUAGACCCGAAACCGGGUGAUCUAUCCAUGAGCAGGUUGAAGCAAGGGUAAAGCCUUGUGGAGGACCGAACCGUCAACGGCUGAAAACGUUCCGGAUGACUUGUGGAUAGGGGUGAAAGGUCAAUCAAACCCGGUGAUAGCUGGUUCUCCCCGAAAUAUAUUGAGGUAUAGCCUCGGGAAUUGAUUAGCGGAGGUAAAGCACUGACAGAGCUAGGGGUCCUACCAGAUUACCAAACUCUAUCAAACUCAGAAUGCCGCUUAAUUGUAUCCCGGGAGUCAGACGGCGGGUGCGAAGGUUCGUCGUCAAAAGGGAAACAGCCCAGACCAACAGCUAAGGUCUCCAAAUCCAUGCUCAGUGGUGAAGGUAGUGGAACCGUUUAGACAGCCAGGACGUUGGCUUAGAAGCAGCCAUCGUUUAAAGAAAGCGUAAUAGCUCACUGGUCUAAUGGCUCUGCGCCGAAAAUGUAACGGGGCUAAGCAUGGUACCGAAGCUUUGGCAAUCUCCUUUGGGGAUUGGGUAGGGGAGCGUUCGCUGCGGGCUGAAGGUGUAUCGGAAGGUAUGCUGGACUGCAGUGAAGUGAUUAUGCUGACAUGAGUAACGAUAAAAUAUGUGAAAAACAUAUUCGCCGAAAACCCGAGGUUUCCUGGGUAAAGGUAAUCUUCCCAGGGUUAGUCGGAUCCUAAGGUGAGGGUGAAAGCCGUAACCGAUGGAAAACAGGUUAAUAUUCCUGUACUUGUUGUGUAGCGCGAUGGAGGGACGCAGGAAGAUAGGCGGGCCGGGUGUUGGAUAUCCCGGUGCAAGCGUGUAGGAAUAUCCGGUAGGCAAAUCCGCCGGACGAAUCUGAGACGCGAGUCCGUGGGCGCAAGCCCUGAAGCCGUUGAGUCUAUGCUGCCUAGAAAAGCUCCUAAGUUUAUCCACAGCAAUCCGUACCGCAAACCAACUCAGGUGGGUGGGAUGAACAAUCCAAGGCGCUCGAGAGAACUCUGGCCAAGGAACUCGGCAAAAUAACCCCGUAACUUCGGAAGAAGGGGUGCUCUCUAGGGUGACAUGUUUAACAUAUGAAGCCCCGGGGAGCCGCAGUGAAUUGGUGGUGGCGACUGUUUACUAAAAACAUAGGUCUGUGCGAAGUCCUAAAGACGACGUAUACGGACUGACGCCUGCCCGGUGCUGGAAGGUUAAAAGGAGGGGUCAGCGCAAGCAAAGCUCCGAAUUGAAGCCCCAGUAAACGGCGGCCGUAACUAUAACGGUCCUAAGGUAGCGAAAUUCCUUGUCGGGUAAGUUCCGACCUGCACGAAUGGCGUA
rnacentral:rRNA from 1 species